rnacentral:rRNA from 1 species
UACAGAGGUCUCAAGCGUUGUUCGGAUUCAUUGGGCGUAAAGGGUGCGUAGGUGGCGUCGUAAGUCGGGUGUGAAAUUUCGGAGCUUAACUCCGAAACUGCAUUCGAUACUGCGGUGCUUGAGGACUGGAGAGGAGACUGGAAUUUACGGUGUAGCAGUGAAAUGCGUAGAGAUCGUAAGGAAGACCAGUUGCGAAGGCGGAUCUCUGGGCAGUUCCUGACACUGAGGCACGAAGGCCAGGGGAGCAAACGGG